ACUCCUACGGGAGGCAGCAGUGGGGAAUAUUGCACAAUGGGCGCAAGCCUGAUGCAGCCAUGCCGCGUGUGUGAAGAAGGCCCUUCGGGUUGUAAAGCACUUUCAGUCGUGAGGAAGGCGGGUACGGUUAAUAGCGUAUUCGUUUGACGUUAGCGACAGAAGAAGCACCGGCUAACUCCGUGCCAGCAGCCGCGGUAAUACGGAGGGUGCGAGCGUUAAUCGGAAUUACUGGGCGUAAAGCGCAUGCAGGUGGUUUGUUAAGUCAGAUGUGAAAGCCCGGGGGCUCAACCUCGGAAUAGCAUUUGAAACUGGCAGACUAGAGUACUGUAGAGGGGGUAGAAUUUCAGGUGUAGCGGUGAAAUGCGUAGAGAUCUGAAGGAAUACCGGUGGCGAAGGCGGCCCCCUGGACAGAUACUGACACUCAGAUGCGAAAGCGUGGGGAGCAAACAGGAUUAGAUACCCUGGUAGGACAGUG
rnacentral:rRNA from 1 species